rnacentral:rRNA from 1 species
AGGGUUUGAUUCUGGCUCAGAACGAACGCUGGCGGCAGGCCUAACACAUGCAAGUCGAGCGCGCCUUCGGGCGAGCGGCGGACGGGUUAGUAACGCGUGGGAACGUGCCCAGAUCUACGGAAUAGCCACUGGAAACGGUGAGUAAUACCGUAUACGCCCUUCGGGGGAAAGAUUUAUCGGAUUUGGAUCGGCCCGCGUUAGAUUAGGUAGUUGGUGGGGUAACGGCCUACCAAGCCUACGAUCUAUAGCUGGUUUUAGAGGAUGAUCAGCAACACUGGGACUGAGACACGGCCCAGACUCCUACGGGAGGCAGCAGUGGGGAAUCUUGGACAAUGGGGGCAACCCUGAUCCAGCCAUGCCGCGUGAGUGAAGAAGGCCCUAGGGUCGUAAAACUCUUUCGCCUGUGAUGAUAAUGACAGUAGCAGGUAAAGAAACCCCGGCUAACUCCGUGCCAGCAGCCGCGGUAAUACGGAGGGGGUUAGCGUUGUUCGGAAUUACUGGGCGUAAAGCGCACGUAGGCGGAUUAGAAAGUUAGAGGUGAAAUCCCGGGGCUCAACCCCGGAACUGCCUUUAAAACUACUAGUCUAGAGUUCGAGAGAGGUGAGUGGAAUUCCGAGUGUAGAGGUGAAAUUCGUAGAUAUUCGGAGGAACACCAGUGGCGAAGGCGGCUCACUGGCUCGAUACUGACGCUGAGGUGCGAAAGUGUGGGGAGCAAACAGGAUUC